CCUAAUGUGGCUUAGUGGUUUGAGCAUUGGACUAUGACUCUGGAGAACAGGGUUCAAAUCCCAGCUCAGCC